CAUCCCAUCCCAUCCCCUCUUUUCAACCCUACCCUCAUUUUACCAUCGUUCUCUCUUUCUCCUCCAAUCUGCUCAAUUAUUUAGUCAACAACCAUAACACAAUCAAUAGGCAAAAUGUCACUGAGCCCGGAUCUCAGCCAUCGUCACCGGCGGAGCUGCCGGAAUCGGCCGAGCACUGGUGCUAGCUCUCGCACAGAAAGGAAUUUUCAUCACAAUCAUUGAUUUUUCUCAAGGCAAAGGCAUACAGGCGGAAUAAGAACUUCGCAAGUUUCACACCGACCUCAAAUUUCCGCCGGUGCUGUUCUUCAGGAGCGACGUCUCCAAUUCAAAUGAACUCGCGGGGGCUUUCCGUAAGCACGUGGACACUUACGGAGGAUUGGAUAUCUGUAUCAAAUCUGCUGGAAUCAGAUUGAAGGCUUUAAAUCUUGGAGGCGUGCAGUUGAUAUCAAUUUUGUUGCAGUGAUUGAAUCCACAUGUCGGGAGGUUUCCUUGUUGAGCUUUUUGGUUGUAUUUUCUGCGUUGAAGCUGCUGUAACUUCAAAUUAAGAUGAAAAUUUGUCCUCCUUCAGUUUUGUUUAGUGUUUUCUUAUCGUAAUAUGUUGCACCUAAUGAUUAUAUGAUAUCUUUCUCUCAGAUGACUGCUCAAAUACCUUUGAAAUAUUUCAUUUGGUAAUGUACUAGUGACUAGUGAGGCAUACACUCAUUUUAGCUAAGUGUUGAAUUUUAUGAUUGUUUUGUCAAUUUCAUAUUCAUCCUGAUCCUCACAUUCACCUUUGGAUAAGGAUAAUAUAUCAUUCCGCUUACACCAAGCAAGAGGAUUCUAGUGAAACGCUACCUUGGCCUUUGAUCGUAAUUAUCAGUUGUGCACCCUGGUCUUGUUUACAGGUAGCCUUGUAGCUAGUUGCAAGCAGUGGCAGAGAUGGAAGAGUGUUUAUGUUAGUUGAACAGAUAAUCCCUCAAGCAGCUUGCUCUAGGCAUGGUUGGCUGUGGGUGCUUUUUGUGUAUGGCUUGUGCACAUUUUGAUGAUCAUUUGCCACCCGAUUACUUACCCUAUUGAAAAGCCUAUGAAAUUGAUCAAACGGAAGACGUGAUGAUGCUGAGUUGGUUCAAAAAAGGAAAGAAUGAGGACGGAGGAUACAUGAAGGAUAGGCUGCCGGAAGAUUACUGCUGCCGCAUUUGCUUUGAUGACUUCCACAUUCUAUGUCGGACUAACUGUGGCCAUUGGUUUUGUGGCAAGUCUUUCUCUUUCUGCAUUUCUUUCUUCCCUCUUUCUUUUCAACUUCAACUUGAAAUGAAGAAAUUGGAGUCUUAAAUUUGUGGGUUUUGGUUUCUUGUUGCCUCUGCAUAAAAAAGAAAUGCUGCUUCUGUUUAUCAAUAUUUGAUUAAAUGUGGGAGGAAAUGAAUAGAUUAAAUGUGUUUUUUGGCUAAAUUUCUAUCAAUCAAGAAUCAAGAUGGAGAUAAAAGAUUAUAAACAAUACUCUGUUUUACACUAUGUGUCUCCUAAUUAUGUUUUUCCUUUCCAAAUGGUUUAUUCUGUUGAUUAAAUGCAAUCAUUUCAUCCUCAAGAACACCUACUUAUGGGAUUACAUAUGAUCUUUGUCCUAUUGCAGUAGCCUGCCUUCUUCUACUGUCAAUAUUCAUGGAAAAUUUCCAGUAUUUCAAGUGUCCUAUGUGUCGAUCCUUGAUAUCUAAUCUGGUUCCUCAUUCAUAUGUAUAGUUCAGCCAGGAAGACAAGUUCGCAAGAUACUCAGAGAGCUCAAGCGAUACAAUUAGUUCAAGUACUUUUGUUUAGUUUUCUGUAAAAGUAAAUAUUGGUGUAUGUUGCUUUUACAUUCAUAUGUCAUGCCUUGACAUGUUUCCUCUAGAUGGAUGUAAUGAAAUUGAAUGGAUAACUGCUAACUGUUAUUUGCUAAUACAAGUCUCAUUGCCAUUUGACA